UAAAAAAUGAGACCAUUAGUACAGCAAAUAGCAUCAUAAGGAAUGUAACAUGCGAUUGCAGCUUCUCAAAUGGAAAAGUUUGUCAUGUUACAAAUAUCGUUUUCACAAGUCUCAAUUUAUCUGGACUUUUACCAAGUGAAUUUGGAUUCCUUACCUAUCUGCAAGAAUUUGAUUUGUCUUACAAUUAUCUAUAUGGAUCAAUCCCAAGGAGCUUUGCUAGACUCCCUCUUGUU